GGCCCAUUACGUCUUGUAACCAUUUGUUAGCUUAAGCAAUCAUAUAUCCUUAAGCAGACGGAGAUGGUGAAUCGAUCAAUGCAAGGCAAUUAUUCCAUGCCUGAAUGCUCUUCGCUAUAAUUGUCGCUGCACUUAGGUCUUUGAAUAGAGGAUUUUCUAGACUCCUCUUUACUAAUGCUAAGUGGCAAACUUUUCCCAACACAACAAGUUCGCCGCAACACCUGUUAGAAAUACUUCCUGUCUCGAAAAUACUCGUGAAAGCUUCUAGAACACAGGGCAAACCCAAUUUAGUUUCACAAUUAUUUUCCUUAAUAAUCCGGUC
rnacentral:lncRNA from 1 species